GACGAACGCUGGCGGCGUGCUUAACACAUGCAAGUCGAACGGAAAGGCCUGUCCUUCCUUGUGUUGGACGGGUACUCGAGUGGCGAACGGGUGAGUAACACGUGAGUGAUCUGCCCCCAACUUGGGUAUAAGCCUGGGAAACUGGGUCUAAUUCCCGAUAGGACUGCAGGGUGGUGCCUGUGGUGGAAAACGAUUUUCUAGUGGUUGGGGAUGAGCUCGCGGCCUAUCAGCUUGUUGGUGGGGUAAUGGCCUACCAAGGCGGCGACGGGUAGCCGGCCUGAGAGGGUGGACGGCCACAUUGGGACUGAGAUACGGCCCAGACUCCUACGGGAGGCAGCAGUGGGGAAUAUUGCACAAUGGGCGGAAGCCUGAUGCAGCGACGCAGCGUGGGGGAUGACGGCCUUCGGGUGGUAAACUCCUUUCGACCGCGAGGAAGCCGCCUGGUUGGAAGGGUGGUGACGGUAGUGGUAGAAGAAGCACCGGCUAACUACGUG
rnacentral:rRNA from 1 species